GGGUGAGUAAUAUAUCGGAACGUACCCUAGAGUGGGGGAUAACGUAGCGAAAGUUACGCUAAUACCGCAUACGAUCUAAGGAUGAAAGUGGGGGAUCGCAAGACCUCAUGCUCGUGGAGCGGCCGAUAUCUGAUUAGCUAGUUGGUAGGGUAAAAGCCUACCAAGGCAUCGAUCAGUAGCUGGUCUGAGAGGACGACCAGCCACACUGGAACUGAGACACGGUCCAGACUCCUACGGGAGGCAGCAGUGGGGAAUUUUGGACAAUGGGCGAAAGCCUGAUCCAGCAAUGCCGCGUGAGUGAAGAAGGCCUUCGGGUUGUAAAGCUCUUUUGUCAGGGAAGAAACGGUGAGAGCUAAUAUCUCUUGCUAAUGACGGUACCUGAAGAAUAAGCACCGGCUAACUACGUGCCAGCAGCCGCGGUAAUACGUAGGGUGCAAGCGUUAAUCGGAAUUACUGGGCGUAAAGCGUGCGCAGGCGGUUUUGUAAGUCUGAUGUGAAAUCCCCGGGCUCAACCUGGGAAUUGCAUUGGAGACUGCAAGGCUAGAAUCUGGCAGAGGGGGGUAGAAUUCCACGUGUAGCAGUGAAAUGCGUAGAUAUGUGGAGGAACACCGAUGGCGAAGGCAGCCCCCUGGGUCAAGAUUGACGCUCAUGCACGAAAGCGUGGGGAGCAAACAGGAUUAGAUACCCUGGUAGUCCACGCCCUAAACGAUGUCUACUAGUUGUCGGGUCUUAAUUGACUUGGUAACGCAGCUAACGCGUGAAGUAGACCGCCUGGGGAGUACGGUCGCAAGAUUAAAACUCAAAGGAAUUGACGGGGACCCGCACAAGCGGUGGAUGAUGUGGAUUAAUUCGAUGCAACGCGAAAAACCUUACCUACCCUUGACAUGGCUGGAAUCCUCGAGAGAUUGGGGAGUGCUCGAAAGAGAACCAGUACACAGGUGCUGCAUGGCUGUCGUCAGCUCGUGUCGUGAGAUGUUGGGUUAAGUCCCGCAACGAGCGCAACCCUUGUCAUUAGUUGCUACGAAAGGGCACUCUAAUGAGACUGCCGGUGACAAACCGGAGGAAGGUGGGGAUGACGUCAAGUCCUCAUGGCCCUUAUGGGUAGGGCUUCACACGUCAUACAAUGGUACAUACAGAGCGCCGCCAACCCGCGAGGGGGAGCUAAUCGCAGAAAGUGUAUCGUAGUCCGGAUUGUAGUCUGCAACUCGACUGCAUGAAGUUGGAAUCGCUAGUAAUC
rnacentral:rRNA from 1 species